AGGCACUGCCUGCCCGGUGACACUUGUUUAACGGCCGCGGUAUCCUGACCGUGCAAAGGUAGCAUAAUCAUUUGUUCUCUAAAUAGGGACUUGUAUGAAUGGCCACACGAGGGUUUAACUGUCUCUUACUCCCAAUCAGUGAAAUUGACCUUCCCGUGAAGAGGCGGGAAUACCACAAUAAGACGAGAAGACCCUAUGGAGCUUUAAUUAACUAACCCAAACUUAUGGAUACUAGAUACCUACAAGGCAUAACAUAACACCAUUAUUAUGAGUUAGCAAUUUAGGUUGGGGUGACCUCGGAAUAUAAAAAAACUCCCGAGUGAUUAAAAUUUAGACCCACAAGUCAAAAUACAACAUCACUUAUUGAUCCAAUAAUUUUUGAUCAACGGAACAAGUUACCCUAGGGAUAACAGCGCAAUCCUAUUCAAGAGUCCAUAUCGACAAUAGGGUUUACGACCUCGAUGUUGGAUCAGGACAUCCUAAUGGUGCAGCAGCUAUUAAGGGUUCGUUUGUUCAACGAUUAAA
rnacentral:rRNA from 1 species